rnacentral:snoRNA from 1 species
GUAAGUCAUGCAUGGAUUUGGAUUGAUGGCAGGCUUGUCCCCCUAGGCCUCUCAUAGUAUCCCACGCUAGAGCAAAUUGUGGCUCCUAACCAUUGCCUGGCCUCCGUGCCUGUAGGCGGCUGGCACUGACGAGGGUCACACGGUG